GUUGGGCGGCGGGCGGUGACGUCACUACGGAGCGCCGCGCCUGGCCGUGUUUCGGGUCGGUGCUACCUGUCGCUGCUCGGCGUGUGCGUCGCACCGCGCCGCCUCGCUGCUUCCCGUCUCCGUGUGGAUCCUGAUGAGCGGCAGGUGGUGAGAGACGCCGGGCUGGCGCGAUGAGUCUCUUCAACCUGGACCGCUUCCGUUACGAGAAGAGGAGGACAAGCGCGGAGCAGGAUGGGCGGCCUGCUGCUGCAGCUCAGGCCCAGGAGGAUGGCAGCCCUGCUGCUGCAGCCCAGGCCCAAGAGGGCAGUCCUGCUUCUGACGGCGGUGGAAAUGAUGUUGCAGGGAGCAGCAGGCCGGGCAGCCCAGCCUCGGAGGUAGCAGGUCCACCCGACAGCGCUAAGGUAGGUAAUUAUUUUUCUAUGAAUUUUGAUGUUAUGCAGGUUUAAUGUUUUCAAUAUCAAUGAAGGCUUUGUGUUUCUAAAUAAAGGGACGAAAGCCUUGGCUUGUUGGCUACUGCAUAGGUAGGACAAAGGAUGGAUGGAGUGGAAGGGAAGGAAUAUGCUGCUUAGAGAAGCAUCAGUUCUCUUGUUGAGAGUACCGAUAUGUGAGGUAAUAAAAGGCAGCCUAAAAAAGGAACUGUUGUGGAGGGCUAAGUAAUAAUGAGAAAAGGAGUGAAAGGCAGUUGUGACCAGAAGUAAAUCAGAGUUGAGUAGAAGUGCAGGGCAAGCGCUUCCCUUAAAUAAGAUAUCAUGGACAUAUCUAUGAUGUAGAGCAGGGGUUCUAGUUAACAGUUAAAAUUUAGUUGUAAUUAUUAGUACUUAUGUCAGCUAGUGCUUAUAUCAUCUUCAUCUCACAAAUAUUGAGUGUUUAAAGAAUUCCUGGUGGUUUCUCUGAGUUUUUUUCCUCACAUUUGCACACAUUUCUGUGCAGUGCAUUUAAAUAAACUAUUUUAAAAAUUAGGUCAUGUUUUCUUAAGUCAAUAGAAGUUAACUGAAAAUAAAGUAUUCAAAUUUUGUCUGUAGCAGAUCAGAUACCAAAGUGUGAAAGAGUAAACUACGUUGGUUUAGCAAUUGCACUUUCUCCUUGUUUCCUAAAUGGCAUUAGGAAGACAGAAUUUUUCUUUCUUUAAGUAAAACAGGUACCUAUUUUUUAUUUCUCGUAUUAUUUUGGAAAAGAUGCAAAAAUAACCUGUUUAUGGCUCUAUGUGCUUUCUUUUCUGCUAAAUAUGUAAGUAAAAGAGUUACUUUGUACAAGGGGCUGUAGUUAAAAAGGAUGUGCUCUAAUUGCUUAGUAAAUCAUACAAGGACAACAAUUACCUGUAUUUAUUCUGAAGGCCAACACAGUGGAUUUGCAAAAUAUUCACGUAUGAAGCUGGGAUAAAGGGAAGUGUGUUUCUUAGUUCAUCUGUUUUUUAAUAAAUAAAUAAAUAAAUAAAAAUUAAAUAGCUGGAGGCAUUUUUCUUGUCCUUCUUACUUUGAUAUUGUAUGGUUAUUUUUGUAUAUGUAAAAAGAGCUUUAAGAUCUGUCCCUCAGUUUCCUUCCUUCCAAUAACAUUUUCGAUGGAUUACUUUUGAUUUCAUUUUGCUGUGUAUCCCAAAAUACAGAUCUAAGAAAAAGAUGAUAUUAUUGUAAUUUCAUUCGUGGGGAGAAAAAGUAGUCAGACAAUGUCUCCUGGUCAUGAAAUAACAUUAUCUUUUUAGCGAAUUCUUGUUUUUGCUGGAGUGAACUAAUAUUGGUGGAGUGUCGUGCACCCCAGGUAUGUAAUGCUCAUUAUUGCUUUGUAUGGAACAUAUGUACCUUAUACUUGAACAAGCAGUUCUCAGUAUGAUGACCAGAAGAACUGGUCAUCUCUACAUGUUUGUAUAUUUUGAAAACUGUGUGGGCUUGCAGCCACUUUGCAGCCAAGUUGGAGGUAGCUGGUUCUGAACAUCACUUCACUGAAUGAGGAUGGUAGAGCCAUCAACCACUGAGCUGCAGUUAUUGGAUUGCAUUAGAGAGGUGCCUCUCUAAAAAGCCUGGGAAAAUGCAUUGGAAUACUUUAAACUUUUCUGUUGAAAUUACUAACUAAAUAAUGCACGUUUGAUUUUAUUAUAUGGUGAAGUUGUUGUCUUAAUUUUCAAUUAGGCAUUUUUAAUUUUUUAAAUAGGCUGCUGUACUGAAAUGGCGAGAUUAUUCCAGUUGUGGAAAUGAACUGUGGUAAAAGUAUAUGAUUAGAAGAGUUACAAUGAGGAAUUUCAAAAUACGAUUUGUGUUCCAAAAGUGUGCUUAUGAAACUUCAGUACUGAACGGAAAUAAAAGUUGUAGAUGAAAUUAAACCUUUGUAUACAGUGCUAUUUUUGAUGAUUGACUGUUGUUAUUGAUAGCCUUUCUGUUUAAUUCAUGUGUAAAAUGCAAAUGAUUGAACUCUGAGGUUUCAGUGUUCACUGACAUAUUGUUGCUUGCACUGGGACUGCUUCUGCCUGGUAUUCUCAUCUGUUAUCAUUUCCUCCGUGGACAGAGGAUGUUGUGUCUUUUAUUAUGUUGCAGUUGAUAGAAUAUAAUUCUUUUUUAAGCAUUUCUGAGAAAAGAAAUGCCUUCAGUACCUAAUGAACUUUUCCAAGGGUUCCUGGAAUGACACAUUGAUGAUUUAGAAGUGGUCUCUUUAAGGAACACCUCAGAAUUAGUACUACUCUUUCAGGAUUCAAAUUAAAAAAAGACUUAUUUGAAACAAAAAUAUUGAUUAGCUUGUACAAUUGAGCAGCAUGCCUUUGAUGCUUCUUUCUGAAUUUGAGUAGAAAUUAGCUGCCAUUUGGCAAUGUAUUAAAUGUGGUAUUAAAUGUGGUAAGCCUCUGUUUUGUUUUUGUUUGGAGGAGAGAAGGCUAGCCUAUCUUGAGUAUGAUGUGUGAUUGUGUUUUUUUUUGUUUUUUUUUUUUUUUCCCUCCCACUCUGUGUAGGUUUACUUCAGUGUUUUCUUAUUUCUGGCCUUAGAGUCAAACACUGAUCCUGUGAUUACAGGCAUUCCUUAUAAGUCCCCUUUAAUCAUCAUGCAAUCAGGGAAUUUUGCCUCCGUUAAUUACAUGCUGUGGCAAUAGCUAUUAAAUGCUUACUGCUAUACAGUGUUAUAAUUUGCUCUAAACACAUUGAAACCACUCCUCUUAUUCCAUAUGUUACUUUUCUUUUGCGUGUGUGUGUUUGUUUUUUUUUCCCCAUUUCUCCUCAUAAGAGAUUCUGUUCAGUGGAAUAGAUGGAGGAAGGAGGUAGUGCUUUUCUGAGAGGGAGGAUGCCUUUUCCAGGCAGUUCAGCAUUUCACAGUCAUGAGAGUUAGGAGCUGUCAGGAAGAGUAACUGGUAUUUAAAAUACAAAUAAAUUGAAGAGAGCCGAAGUGAAGCAGUGUAAAUACACUCUUUAGUUUAAAUCUGCACUUCUUACAAGGCUUAUUCUAAGGAAUAAAAUAAUUUUUAAGGUUGUGUUAUUUUUGUAAACUUAGUUUAAAUCCAGUAAGGAUGCUAAGUGAAGCUUUCAUGAAUACCUGCCAACUGCAUAUUGUGCUACUUGCAGGAGGAGUGUGUUUGAAACGUGCUCUAAUAAAAAAUAAAAAAAAUAAAAAAUCAUGAAAAUGGCCUUUAUCAGUUCUCUUAAUUCUCUAGAACUGGAAUAUCUCGUUACAUUAUCAGGAUGUUUUGAAAUUUCUAUUAAAUUCUUCUCAUACACCUGUCAGUUCAGUGCUAUUGUGAUAACCCUUGCUUUGCUAGCCCAACUUGUUAACCUUGAGGAGUGAUAUGCCUUAGAGUUUUUUUGCUAGAGAGGAAUUAACCACAACUUUGCACUUAAAUGUAAGAGAAGUGUGUGAUACUUACCCCAGUGUCUCUUUUACAUUCUUCUUAAAACUUUUGCAUAGAAAUGGUUUUCACAUAAAGCAAACCAGACAUAAAAGAGACAACGUGUCUCCUUCUACAUAUAGAUAGAUAGAAGUACAGAUGAGGAACUUCCUGCUGCCAAUGUGGUGGUCUUAGUUGCUGGAAGGCCUGUUUUGGGACACUUACUGCUUCAGAACUGGUGGUACUUUUAGGCUGCCCUUUAAGUUUACAUGUGUAUGGCCUUUUCAAGAUAACAUGGAAUCAUUAAAGUUGGAACAGACCUCUAAGGUCAUCUAGUCCACCCACCAUCAGUAUUUCCCCACUAAAACAUGUCUCUGUGUACUACAUCUGCCCUUUCCUUUAACAUUUCUGGGGAUGGUGGCUUCCCUGGGCAGCCUGUUCCAAUGCCUUACCAUCUUUCUGAGAAGAAGUUCUUCCUCAUAUUCAACCCAAACCUCCUCUGGCCCAACUAGCCUUGUCGCUAGUUACUUGGGUCAAGAAGCCAACUUCUCCUUGCUACAGCAUCCUUUCAGGUUGUUGUAGAGUGAUAAGAUCUCCUCUGAACCUUCUCUUGUCCUGACUGAAUAAUCUCAGUUCCCUCAGCUGCUCUUCAUAAGACUUGUGCGCCUGAGCCUCCCUGCUUUGCUGCCCUUCUCUGCACACACUCUAGGGCCUUGGUGAAUUUCUUGUAGUGGGAGGCCCAAAACUGAACCCAGUACUCAAGAUGUGGCUGGUCCUGGCUAUUUCUGAUGCAUGCCAGGGUGCCAUUGGCCUUCUUGGCCACCUGGGCACACUGCUGGCUUGUGUUCAGCCAAACAUUGACCAACUACCUCAGACCCAUUUUUUCCAUACAGUCUUCCAGCUAUCCUGCCCUAGGCUUUUAGUAUUGUCUGGGGUUAUUGUGGCCAGAGUGCAGGGUCUGACACUUCAUGUUGUUGAAUUUCAUCCCACUGGCCUUAGCCCAGCAGUCCAGCCUGUCCAGGUCCCUCUGUAGGGCUUUCCUGUCCUCAGGCAGAUUGACUAUCUCAAAAAUCGUUACUGAAAUCUUCUACCUCAUCUGAAAGUGAUAGGAAAAAGUUGAGAUUUUCAUGGUAAUUUGGUUAAAAUCAAGAGCUUUUUUUUUUUUUCAUAAAGGAGUUAAUCUGACCACCUGUGGUUCACUUCUGCCUUUGGCUAGCGACUGAAUUCUGGUCUCUGCUGGCAGAUCACCUCUGGGAACUGAGAUUACUCUGUGGUAACUGAGCUGAGUUUCUUUCCAUGUUAAGUGACAGGAGCAGGAGAAACUGCCUUUAUUUUCAGCUGUUUCCAGAGUUGGCAACUGAGGAAGAAGCACUGCGUUUGGCUCAUAGAGACAUGACUUUUAAGAAGGUUUUGGUGCACUAGAAAGAAGAGUGUGCACGUGACACUGUAUUUACAUGUUGAGGAUAUAAAAUGCAUUUAUACAAAAGGUUUAGCUGACAGUUGUAUCAUUAAAACUCAGUCCUCCCACAGGUUCUCUAGCUGUAUCCCGGACUUACCUUGUACAGUUGAUUUGGUCUAUUUUCUUAUUCUGAAUUCAGGUUUCUUUGGAGUAGGAAAUGAAUAUGAAUAUUUUUUUUUCCACCCAUCUGCCAUCCCAGUUCAAAGUAUAUUAUUGUCUGUCAUCAUUCAUAAUAAAAUAUAGCUAUUACACUGUGCAUGGUUUUUGGUAUUCUAUCCUCUUGAAGUGUAAAU